GGUUUUCAACACUUUUAUUGUAAAGCUUUAGGAAGGGCUAAUUACAAUGGAGUUGGUCAUCUGACAGCUCAGCAAACAAACAGAACAGGAGAGAACGGAAAGGGGAUCACGACGGUGUCAUGCUCACUGCUCUGAACAGAAAGAAUUACAAGGGAAUCAAUUGUGCUCACAGCGCCCGGGGAAAACUAAGCCCAAGGCCCAAAGCCUUCCCCGCACAGGGAAAUGCAUCACACAUUGAGAGCAAUACAACCUUAGCAAGAGGCAUUGCCUUAGACAUAGGUCACCAUCUGAAAAAUAGUUGGGUACUUUACUCUGCCAUAGGAUUUCUCCUUUAGAAAAGCUACACCUGCAUGUACAUAAAACUGUACAAAAAACAAGGCAUCACAAGCAAGGAAAUGAAAUCUCGUAUAAAUAGAACCAACACUGAAGAGCUACAAAGGGGUCGCUUAGAUCCUUCCCACGCAGCCCGCCUGCUCCCUGGCUCCCACCUUUGGUUUUACCCCUGGCUUGUCCUAGUGCAGUGUGAGAUACAGUGAACCCCUCUGCAGAGGCGUCAACCCCCCUCCUCUUCCCUGUGCUUGUCUAGACUGGAGCCCGUGGGGAGCGUCAUCCCCCCACGUGCACAGAGGCUUUAUCCUUCUGGCUUAUAAUUGUGCAAAUGAGCUUCUUUCCCACAGCACCUCUUCUUUGCCCUCCCCCAGUGACACUGACAACUUCACCCCAGGACAAACACCCAGCACCCCCUCUCCCAGCACCUCCAUCUCCCCAGGGACCCAUCCCUGCUGCACCCCGCAGAGCCUCUCAAGCCCUUGGCACCCCAAUCAGGACCCACUCCCAGUGCCCCCUCUGUUUCUCCCCACAGACCCACCCUCAGCCCCCCAUGCUCCCCAUAGACACCCAUCCCCUCUCCAUCCCUCAGAUACCCACCACCCUGCUGAUACCCAUUGCCCUCUCCUCACUGUGCUCCCCUCCAAAGACCCAACCCCACCAUCCUGCUGUGCAUCCCCCCUUCCCACCCUCCCCAUGGCACAGACCCCCAGCACCCACCCCUCCUGCCCCUCGGGGACCCCUCUCUGCACUCACCCCCCCUUGCACUGAGAACAUCGCCAGGCGCUCCAGGAGACAAGACAGCAACUCCAGCCAUGGGGCUUCGAGCUUCAGGGUCCCUCUGUGACCCCGAGCAGAAGGUAGGGAGCCCACCCACAGGCGAGGGGCUGGGGUGAAAGCUGGUCUUGCUCUCUCAAGGGGUCCCCAAGAGGGACACUGGACACUGCUGCUGCCUGAGCCAAGGGGAGGCGUGAGCAGUCGAGCUGGCAGUGGAGUCAAAGAUCCUGGCCAGCGCGGCCAAAUUGCACAUUCUGCCCAGUUUGGCC
rnacentral:lncRNA from 1 species